CCGGCUUGACUGAUUUUUUUAUCACGGGAGAAUGGGGAUGGUGAAAGGUGAAUGAUGGCUGACAAAGAGGUCCACUGUCACUAAUAUGUGGUAGUGACGUUUUUCUCUGCUUAGCUGACUGAGAUAGGAGAUACAGUCCAUUAUGUUCCAAGUAGGUUACAUUGGCCCUCCUCUAUGCACAGCACUCUGGGGACUUCCUGCAGCUGUUCUCAGGAGACAGGUCAGUGUGUGUAGAGAACACGUUUGACCAGGUGGAGUCGKGCUUCUACUUCAUCGCCCUGGACCACUACACCAAUGAGACAGAGGAUCUCAUGUUUGGACCAAUUAUGCUGAUGCUCCACUGUAAGAACCUGGAGAUCUUGACUGGUUCUGAGGGAGGUGACGUGGCCMCAAACAGUGCCUGGGACACCUUCCAUCACUACCUCUGUCUAGAGAACAGUCGGAGGGUGGUCAAGACAUCUGCCACAACUUYGUGUCAGCUCUGCUUCACCUGGGAUCUAAAGAUGGCUCUAGCUUGUUGAUAUCUGAUGACACCCUAUGUGAUUUGACUCUUGUAUUAUUGACUGUAUUCAAUAAAACUUCCAAUGCCA